AACGAACGCUGGCGGCAGGCCUAACACAUGCAAGUCGAGCGCCCCGCAAGGGGAGCGGCGGACGGGUGAGUAACGCGUGGGAACGUACCCUUUGCUACGGAAUAGCCUCGGGAAACUGGGAGUAAUACCGUAUGUGCCCUUCGGGGGAAAGAUUUAUCGGCAAAGGAUCGGCCCGCGUUGGAUUAGGUAGUUGGUGGGGUAAUGGCCUACCAAGCCGACGAUCCAUAGCUGGUUUGAGAGGAUGAUCAGCCACACUGGGACUGAGACACGGCCCAGACUCCUACGGGAGGCAGCAGUGGGGAAUCUUAGACAAUGGGCGCAAGCCUGAUCUAGCCAUGCCGCGUGAGCGAUGAAGGCCUUAGGGUUGUAAAGCUCUUUCAGUGGGGAAGAUAAUGACUGUACCCACAGAAGAAGCCCCGGCUAACUCCGUGCCAGCAGCCGCGGUAAAGGAGUAGUACA
rnacentral:rRNA from 1 species